UACGUAGGGGGCUAGCGUUGUCCGGAAUCAUUGGGCGUAAAGAGCUCGUAGGCGGCCAGGCAAGUCCGGUGUGAAAGUCACAGGCUCAACCUGUGAAUGCCGCUGGAAACUGUCUGGCUAGAGUCCGGAAGGGGCGAGUGGAAUUCCUGGUGUAGCGGUGAAAUGCGCAGAUAUCAGGAGGAAAACCUAUGGAGAAGGCAGCUCGCUGGGACGGUAAUGACGCUGAGGAGCGAAAGCGUGGGGAGCGAACAGG
rnacentral:rRNA from 1 species